rnacentral:rRNA from 1 species
UACGUAGGGUGCGAGCGUUGUCCGGAAUUAUUGGGCGUAAAGGGCUCGUAGGCGGUCUGUCACGUCGGGAGUGAAAACGCGGGGCUUAACCCCGUGCCUGCUUCCGAUACGGGCAGACUAGAGGUAUGCAGGGGAGAACGGAAUUCCUGGUGUAGCGGUGAAAUGCGCAGAUAUCAGGAGGAACACCGGUGGCGAAGGCGGUUCUCUGGGCAUUACCUGACGCUGAGGAGCGAAAGUGUGGGGAGCGAACAGG